rnacentral:rRNA from 1 species
CCCUUAGAUGUUCUGGGCUGCGCGCGCGCUACACUGUCGGAUUCAGCGAGUCAUAUCCUUAACCGAAAGGUUUGGGUAAUCUUUUGAAAGUCCGACGUGAUGGGGAUUGAUCAUUGCAAUUAUUGAUCAUGAACGAGGAAUUCCUAGUAAGCGCGAGUCAUCAGCUCGCGUUGAUUACGUCCCUGCCCUUUGUACACACCGCCCGUCGCUACUACCGAUUGAAUGGUUUAGUGAGAUCUUCGGAUUGGCGCCUACGCGGCUUCUCUGAGGCCACGCUGGAUGCCGAAAAGUUGCUCAAACUGUAUCAUUUAGAGGAAGUAAAAGUCGUAACA